UACGGAGGAUGCGAGCGUUAUCCGGAUUUAUUGGGUUUAAAGGGUGCGUAGGCGGAAAUGUAAGUCAGUGGUGAAAUCCUGCAGCUUAACUGUAGAAUAGCCGUUGAAACUGUGUUUCUUGAGUACAUUUGAGGUAGGCGGAAUGUGGUGUGUAGCAGUGAAAUGCAUAGAUAUACCACAGAACACCGAUUGCGAAGGCAGCUUACUAAACUGUCACUGACGCUGAUGCACGAAAGCGUGGGUAUCAAACAGGA
rnacentral:rRNA from 1 species